rnacentral:rRNA from 1 species
AUUGAACGCUGGCGGCAUGCCUUACACAUGCAAGUCGAACGGUAACAGGUCUUCGGAUGCUGACGAGUGGCGAACGGGUGAGUAAUACAUCGGAACGUGCCUAGUAGUGGGGGAUAACUACUCGAAAGAGUGGUUAAUACCGCAUGAGAUCUACGGAUGAAAGCAGGGGAUCGCAAGACCUUGUGCUACUAGAGCGGCCGAUGGCAGAUUAGGUAGUUGGUGGGAUAAAAGCUUACCAAGCCGACGAUCUGUAGCUGGUCUGAGAGGACGAUCAGCCACACUGGGACUGAGACACGGCGCAGACUCCUACGGGAGGCAGCAGUGGGGAAUUUUGGACAAUGGGCGCAAGCCUGAUCCAGCAAUGCCGCGUGCAGGAUGAAGGCCUUCGGGUUGUAAACUGCUUUUGUACGGAACGAAAAGCCCUGGGUUAAUACCCUGGGGUCAUGACGGUACCGUAAGAAUAAGCACCGGCUAACUACGUGCCAGCCGCCGCGGUAAAAC